CGCUGACCGCCGCUGCCGCGCCGAACGCCGCACCGUCGCCGCGAUCCCCGUCGACGUGCCGCGCCACCUCGCCACAACACCGACGCCGCCGUUCCCUGCUACCGUCAUCCCCGCGCCCUGCUCCGGACCUGGACGCCGCGCCCUGCACCGCUGAGUCAGAGGAGGAUCGGACUGACGAGGACCGUGAGUAUCGGGAGGAGUUUGGCGACGACUACUCCGAAGGUUCUUAUGAUUCCGAGGGAUAUAGCAACUAGGGGGUUCGUGCCUUCACUCAAGUCGAUGGAGUUUCUACCUUCCGCAUCUAUCGAGCUGUUCCGGUUGAUAAUUUAGAUUUUGUUUCUGCCAUGUGGCAAUGCAAUAAUGUAAUACUCUCUAUUCUUAAUGCUUUUGUACGAUGUAUGGAUGAUGAUUAUCAACUGGAAUUGGGUAAUUUGAUUUAAAUGGUCAUUUUA